AAGAAUCCUUAUGCUAAUGCCAAAGGCUUCUCUUGUGAUGUAUGCCGCAAGAUUGGAGUCAAGCAAUGGCUUUAUAGAUGUCCUGCUUGUGAGUUUGAUGUUCAUUUAGAUUGUUUAGCUUCUGCCCCUAGGCAGGAAGCUUCACAGUCAACUGCCCUCCAGCACCACCAUUCAUUCCCAGGGGCCACUAACCAAUUCCAGCAGGCUAUUAUGGGCACACAAGCAAGGUCACAUCAUUUUAUGCAUGCCGCAAGCACAGGUGCAAUAACUAACAACCAUUCCCUACAGCCUACAGUGUUUCAAGGACAAGCGAGGCCGAACCAGCUGUUUCAUAGUGCUAGUACAAGUGCAGUUCCGCAGCAACAGUUCCUGCAACCUCCUAAAAUUCAAGGACAAGCGAGGCCAAACCAGUUGUUUCAUAGUGCCAGUACAAGUGCAGUUCCGCAGCAACAGUUCCUGCAACCUCCUAAAAUUCAAGGACAAGCGAGGCCAAACCAGUUGUUUCAUAGUGCC
rnacentral:misc_RNA from 1 species